GCCCAUAUUUAAGCCAGUAACAUGUCGUUGAACUUCUAGAAAAGCACAUGAUAUUUUUAUUUCUAUACAUCGUUUAUGCCCUCGUAAAUUUCAAUGAAAAUAUUGGUGUUAAUUCUCAAACUUCUUGGUUUUAAAUUUAUUUCUUACAAAUUAUAUUUCAAGAACUUGUCUUUCAACUUGGGAUUUUCUUCAACCAUGUUUUUUUUGUUUUUUCAAUUCCAUGCCAUUUAGCCAUUGA
rnacentral:lncRNA from 1 species